rnacentral:rRNA from 1 species
CAAUAGCGUAUAUUAAAGUUGUUGCAGUUAAAAAGCUCGUAGUUGGAUUUCUGGUGGGAGCGAUCGGUCUGGCGCUUAGCGCGAGUACUUGCAUCGUCUCCGGCCAUCCUUGGGGAGAGUCUGUCUGGCAUUAAGUUGUCGGGCAGAGGAUCCUCAUCGUUUACUGUGAAAAAAUUAGAGUGUUCAAAGCCGGCUUAUGCCGUUGAAUAUAUUAGCAUGGAAUAAUAAGAUAGGACUUUGGUACUAUUUUGUUGGUUUGCGCACCAAAGUAAUGAUUAAUAGGGACAGUUGGGGGUAUUCGUAUUCCGUUGUCAGAGGUGAAAUUCUUGGAUUUACGGAAGACGAACUACUGCGAAAGCAUUUACCAAGGAUGUUUUCAUUAA